CUUUCCCAAACUUACGGAUACACCUUACAUCAAAUCUCAAUUUUUACUAUAAAAGAAGCUCCACAUACCUCUUCAAACUCACCACCCUCAUCACAUCUUUCUCCUACAACUUUUUGUGUGAUUUCUCUCUCCUUUCUUUUCUUUCAAAGGGAGAGAGAAGAAUAAAAGAAUAAUAACAAUAAAAAAAAAUAAACAAUCAACAUUUGUAAUAGAAAGAUGGCAUCUUCAAUGAGAGUGGCAGUUUUUCUUGGCAUGAUUGCAGCUCUUAUUUCAAUAGUAGCUGCUACAGAACCCGCUACUUUAUCUAUCGAUCUUAGUCACAUUCCCACAAACGAAACUCAACUUCUUACCGAAAACAGUGGUGCUGCCUCAUAUGAUCAAGCAAUUUCUUAUGUCCUAAUGUUGCUGGCUCUGGUGUUCACCUACAUCUUUCACUAAAUGAAGGCUGAGGAAUCCACAAAGAAUUAUUUUUUUAUUUUUUAAUUU